CGGAUUUAGCUCAGUUGGGAGAGCGCCAGACUGAAGAUCUGGACCUGUGUUCGAUCCACAGAAUUCGCACCCUCCCGUAGGGGUU
rnacentral:tRNA from 1 species